rnacentral:rRNA from 1 species
ACUCCUACGGGAGGCAGCAGUAGGGAAUCUUCCGCAAUGGACGAAAGUCUGACGGAGCAACGCCGCGUGAGUGAUGAAGGCUUUCGGGUCGUAAAACUCUGUUGUUAGGGAAGAACAAGUGCUAGUUGAAUAAGCUGGCACCUUGACGGUACCUAACCAGAAAGCCACGGCUAACUACGUGCCAGCAGCCGCGGUAAUACGUAGGUGGCAAGCGUUAUCCGGAAUUAUUGGGCGUAAAGCGCGCGCAGGUGGUUUCUUAAGUCUGAUGUGAAAGCCCACGGCUCAACCGUGGAGGGUCAUUGGAAACUGGGAGACUUGAGUGCAGAAGAGGAAAGUGGAAUUCCAUGUGUAGCGGUGAAAUGCGUAGAGAUAUGGAGGAACACCAGUGGCGAAGGCGACUUUCUGGUCUGUAACUGACACUGAGGCGCGAAAGCGUGGGGAGC